AAGUCGUAACAAGGUUUCCGUAGGUGAACCUGCGGAAGGAUCAUUACUGAAGAUAAAAGGGUCUUGAGACUGCGUUUAUCUUAACGUGUGCUCGACUCUUAACUCUUUCAUCUACACACACCUUUGUGCACCAUGGGAGGGCCGUCAGUGUUCUCCCCUUUUUCAUAUAAACACAAAGUUAUAUGCAUGUCUUAUUACUCUACGGAGUUAUAAAAUGUAACAACUUUCAACAACGGAUCUCUUGGCUCUC
rnacentral:misc_RNA from 1 species